rnacentral:rRNA from 1 species
CCUACGGGAGGCAGCAGUGAGGAAUAUUGGUCAAUGGUCGGGAGACUGAACCAGCCAAGCCGCGUGAGGGAUGAAGGUACAGAGUAUCGUAAACCUCUUUUGUCAGGGAACAAAGGCGGGGACGUGUCCCCGGAUGAGUGUACCUGAAGAAAAAGCAUCGGCUAACUCCGUGCCAGCAGCCGCGGUAAUACGGAGGAUGCGAGCGUUAUCCGGAUUUAUGGGGUUUAAAGGGUGCGCAGGCGGUCUGUUAAGUCAGAGGUCAAAGCCCGGGGCUCAAACCCGGCCCGCCGUUGAAACUGGCAGUCUCGAGUUGGAGAGAAGUAUGCGGAAUGCGCGGUGUAGCGGUGAAAUGCAUAGAUAUCGCGCAGAACUCCGAUUGCGAAGGCAGCAUGCCGGCUCCACACUGACGCUGAGGCACGAAAGCGUGGGUAUCGAACAGGAUUAGAUACCCGGGUAGUC